UAAAAACCCCGACUUCGGAAGGGGUGUAUUUAUUAGAUACAAAACCAAUGCCCUUCGGGGCUCUUUGGUGAUUCAUGAUAACUAUACGAAUCGCACGGCCUUGCGCCGGCGAUGGUUCAUUCAAAUUUCUUCCCUAUCAACUUUCGAUGUUUGGGUAUUGGCCAAACAUGGUUGCAACGGGUAACGGAGGGUUAGGGCUCGACCCCGGAGAAGGAGCCUGAGAAACGGCUACUACAUCCAAGGAAGGCAGCAGGCGCGCAAAUUACCCAAUCCCGACUCGGGGAGGUAGUGACAAUAAAUACUGAUACAGGGCCCUUUCGGGCCUUGUAAUUGGAAUGAGUACAAUUUAAAUCCCUUAACGAGGAACAAUUGGAGGGCAAGUCUGGUGCCAGCAGCCGCGGUAAUUCCAGCUCCAAUAGCGUAUAUUAAAGUUGUUGUGGUUAAAAAGCUCGUAAUUGGACCUUGGGCCUGGCUGGCCGGUCCGCCUCACCGCGUGCACGGGUGCGGCCGGGCCUUUCCAUCUGUGGAACCCCAUACGCUUCACGGGGGCGUGGCGGGGAAACAUGACAUUUUCAU
rnacentral:rRNA from 1 species